CUUUUCCAGUUGGGUUGAGUUUUGAGCCAUCGUACUACUUAAAAAAUAUUCAAAGUUUCUAAUACAACUAAAGCUUCAAUACGAUGGCAAAUACAGGAAAUGGUGGCUGACCUACCGGGGUGAUGGCGGGAAUUUAAAUCUUAGCGGUUAUGACGGUGGGUGGUUGGUUAAUGCUGGAAAUGCGAAGCAGAUGAAAUUGCUUCAGUUAAACCCACCAGUUCGGU